rnacentral:misc_RNA from 1 species
AACCUUAUGGACCUGCGGGCGUAUACCUGCGGAGGGAUCAUUAUAGAGUUUUCUAAACUCCCAAACCCAUGUGAACUUACCAUUGUUGCCUCGGCAGAACCUACCCGGUACCUACCCUGGAACUAGCUACCCUGUAGCUACCCAGGAACGGACUACCCUGUAACGUCCUGCCGGUGGACUUCUAAACUCUUGUUAUUUAUAGUAAUCUGAGCGUCUUAUUUUAAUAAGUCAAAACUUUCA